UCCCUUUACUUUUAUCAAGUAAUGUAAUUUACCUUAUUAAUUUGUAUGAAAUUCCAGCAGUUAAUUUGAACACUUAUUUAUAUGAUGUUUGUAUUCUUAGGUCUUUAAUACAGUGUUUCUACCUCUCAUUGUAAUUGCAUGAAUUAUUCUUGAAACUAGGUAAAAUUCACUGAAUUAUUGUAUAAUAAAUAGCCUUUUUAUUA